rnacentral:rRNA from 1 species
GAUGAACGCUGGCGGCGUGCCUAAUACAUGCAAGUCGAGCGAACGGACGAGAAGCUUGCUUUUCUGAUGUUAGCGGCGGACGGGUGAGUAACACGUGGAUAACCUACCUAUAAGACUGGGAUAACUUCGGGAAACCGGAGCUAAUACCGGAUAAUAUUUUGAACCGCAUGGUUCAAAAGUGAAAGACGGUCUUGCUGUCACUUAUAGAUGGAUCCGCGCUGCAUUAGCUAGUUGGUAAGGUAACGGCUUACCAAGGCAACGAUGCAUAGCCGACCUGAGAGGGUGAUCGGCCACACUGGAACUGAGACACGGUCCAGACUCCUACGGGAGGCAGCAGUAGGGAAUCUUCCGCAAUGGGCGAAAGCCUGACGGAGCAACGCCGCGUGAGUGAUGAAGGUCUUCGGAUCGUAAAACUCUGUUAUUAGGGAAGAACAUAUGUGUAAGUAACUGUGCACAUCUUGACGGUACCUAAUCAGAAAGCCACGGCUAACUACGUGCCAGCAGCCGCGGUAAUACGUAGGUGGCAAGCGUUAUCCGGAAUUAUUGGGCGUAAAGCGCGCGUAGGCGGUUUUUUAAGUCUGAUGUGAAAGCCCACGGCUCAACCGUGGAGGGUCAUUGGAAACUGGAAAACUUGAGUGCAGAAGAGGAAAGUGGAAUUCCAUGUGUAGCGGUGAAAUGCGCAGAGAUGUGGAGGAACACCAGUGGCGAAGGCGACUUUCUGGUCUGUAACUGACGCUGAUGUGCGAAAGCGUGGGGAUCAAACAGGAUUAGAUACCCUGGUAGUCCACGCCGUAAACGAUGAGUGCUAAGUGUUAGGGGGUUUCCGCCCCUUAGUGCUGCAGCUAACGCAUUAAGCACUCCGCCUGGGGAGUACGACCGCAAGGUUGAAACUCAAAGGAAUUGACGGGGACCCGCACAAGCGGUGGAGCAUGUGGUUUAAUUCGAAGCAACGCGAAGAACCUUACCAAAUCUUGACAUCCUUUGACAACUCUAGAGAUAGAGCCUUCCCCUUCGGGGGACAAAGUGACAGGUGGUGCAUGGUUGUCGUCAGCUCGUGUCGUGAGAUGUUGGGUUAAGUCCCGCAACGAGCGCAACCCUUAAGCUUAGUUGCCAUCAUUAAGUUGGGCACUCUAAGUUGACUGCCGGUGACAAACCGGAGGAAGGUGGGGAUGACGUCAAAUCAUCAUGCCCCUUAUGAUUUGGGCUACACACGUGCUACAAUGGACAAUACAAAGGGCAGCGAAACCGCGAGGUCAAGCAAAUCCCAUAAAGUUGUUCUCAGUUCGGAUUGUAGUCUGCAACUCGACUACAUGAAGCUGGAAUCGCUAGUAAUCGUAGAUCAGCAUGCUACGGUGAAUACGUUCCCGGGUCU